GAGACUUUGGUCAUGGGCGACGAUGAGUCUGUCGACGCGUUCGCUUCGCGGGUGGCUACUCUCGUCAAUCGGAUCCGUGCGCUUGGAGAAAACCUCAUGGAGGCCUCAGUUGUCCGGCAGUUCUUGCGCGCGGCCCCUCCCCGGUACCUGCAAAUUGUCACGGCGAUCGAGCAGUGCGUCGAUCUCGCGACUCUCUCCAUCGACGAUCUUGUCGGACGGUAUAAGGUUCACGAUGAGCGAAUGCGGUACAGUCUUGGGGAUGGGAGGAACGACGAGCUUGUGAUGCUCACAAGGGCAUAG
rnacentral:rRNA from 1 species